rnacentral:rRNA from 1 species
GACGAACGCUGGCGGCGUGCUUAACACAUGCAAGUCGAACGGAAAGGCCCUGCUUUUGUGGGGUGCUCGAGUGGCGAACGGGUGAGUAACACGUGAGUAACCUGCCCUUGACUUUGGGAUAACUUCAGGAAACUGGGGCUAAUACCGGAUAGGAGUUCCUGCUGCAUGGUGGGGGUUGGAAAGUUUCGGCGGUUGGGGAUGGACUCGCGGCGUAUCAGCUUGUUGGUGGGGUAGUGGCUUACCAAGGCUUUGACGGGUAGCCGGCCUGAGAGGGUGACCGGCCACAUUGGGACUGAGAUACGGCCCAGACUCCUACGGGAGGCAGCAGUGGGGAAUAUUGCACAAUGGGCGGAAGCCUGAUGCAGCAACGCCGCGUGCGGGAUGACGGCCUUCGGGUUGUAAACCGCUUUCGCCUGUGACGAAGCGUGAGUGACGGUAAUGGGUAAAGAAGCACCGGCUAACUACGUG